AGUAACGCGUGGGGAACCCGCCCUAUACAGGGGGAUAACAGCUGGAAACGGUUGCUAAUACCGCAUAAGCGCACAGAAUCGCAUGAUUCAGUGUGAAAAGCCCUGGCAGUAUAGGAUGGUCCCGCGUCUGAUUAGCUGGUUGGUGAGGUAACGGCUCACCAAGGCGACGAUCAGUAGCCGGCUUGAGAGAGUGAACGGCCACAUUGGGACUGAGACACGGCCCAA
rnacentral:rRNA from 1 species